rnacentral:rRNA from 1 species
CCUACGGGAGGCAGCAGUGGGGAAUAUUGCACAAUGGGGGAAACCCUGAUGCAGCGACGCCGCGUGAGUGAAGAAGUACUUCGUUAUGUAAAGCUCUGUCAGCAGGGAAGAAAAUGAGGGUACCUAAGUGAGAACCCCCGGCUAACUACGUGCCAGCAGCCGCGGUAAUACGUAGGGGGGAAGCGGUAGCCGGUUUUACUGGGGGAAAAGGGAGCGGAGACGGCAGUGCAAGGCUGGAGUGAAAGGCGGGGGCUCAACCCCCGGACUGCUCUGGAAACUGUACGGCUGGAGUGCAGGAGAGGUAAGUGGAAUUCCAAGUGUAGCGGUGAAAUGCGUAGAUAUAAGGAGGAACACCAGUGGCGAAGGCGGCUUACUGGACUGUAACUGACGUUGAGGCUCGAAAGCGUGGGGAGCAAACAGGAUUAGAUACCCGUGUAGUC